rnacentral:rRNA from 1 species
GACGAACGCUGGCGGCGUGCCUAAUACAUGCAAGUCGAACGCAGUGGGGACGGGUGAGUAACACGUGGGUAACCUCCCAUCAGAGGGGAUACCACUUGGAAACAGGUGCUAAACCGAUACUGAUGGAUGGACCCGCGGUGCAUUAGCUAGUUGGUGAGGUAACGGCUCACCAAGGCCACGAUGCAUAGCCGACCUGAUAGGGUAGUCGGCCACACUGGGACGGAGACACGGCCCAGACUCCUACGGGAGGCAGCGUUGGGGAAUAUUGGACAAGGGGCGAAAGCCUGAUCGGGAAACGCCGCGGGAGGGAAGAAGGUUUUCGGAUCGUAAAACUCUUUUGUUAGAGAAGCGGUAUCUAACCAGAAAGCCACGGCUAACUACGUGCCAGCAGCCGCGGUAAUAC